AAAUUCAAUUCACAAAGCCUUUUUUUUAACAAAAUUGAACUUAAUUGUUACAAAUCUAAAAGUCUACAGUCUUCAUUUUAAAUAUAAAAUGCAUUUAAGGACGUUUCAUUGGCCUGGCACAGUCACUCUUCUUAUUUGUUUUGGGCUUGGCCUUGGAUUUAUACUUCGGCUUACAUUAUGAAUUGGAUUUCUUAAGCUUGCAGCUAUGGCCAAAUGGCGACAUUCAAAUCCAUUGAGGCCUUAAUGUGCUCCUGUCCCUUCUUCAACUUCGCUGCAGUCCUUUGCCUUCUCGUCAAGACGUUUGGUCAGCUCCGUUCCUUUCAGCUAAGCUGCAAGUCUCAAGCUCUGAAGUAAGCCAAACGAGCGUUUAUAUCCUGGAGUUCCAGUGCUUUGGUUUGCUGAUCCUGCUGCGAUUGUUGCUGCUGGAGUUAGAGAUCGCAGCUCGUGAGCAUUCAGUUCAUCAGCUUGGAAUUGCAAAUGCUGCACAAAUUAAACUUCCAACUAGACCAGAGCUCAAUGCACUGCAGAAUUCACGGCCUGAAGCGUAAUGGGUCAUAAGUUGGCCUGAGUCAAGCAAAUUGUGAAGCGCUGAUUGCCGGACUCCUGUUUGAUAAUGCCGCGGAUCAUGGCGAUGAGCAGCUGGUUGGACUGACCACGCCCAUGUCCAUGUCAUAUGCUGGCUCGCGAUGCAUUUUCGUGGAUCCAACGGGGACGAGCUUGUCAUAAAUAAUUAUAGAACACUUUGUAUUUAACAUAAAAAACAAAGCAAAAAAU